rnacentral:sRNA from 1 species
GCGAGUGUCUGUGCGCGAGUGAGUGAGCGGCGGGCGGGCGCGAGUGUGGCCGCCGCGGAGCGCGAGCAGGACCCGGCGGGCGCGCUCCCCAGCCUCCGUCUCCCCGCCGGAACCAUGUCGGGCAGGUCGGUUCGAGCCGAGACGAGGAGCCGGGCCAAAGAUGAUAUCAAGAGGGUCAUGGCGGCGAUCGAGAAAGUGCGCAAAUGGGAGAAGAAAUGGGUGACCGUUGGUGACACAUCCCUACGAAUCUACAAAUGGGUCCCUGUGACGGAGCCCAAGGUUGACGAUAAAAACAAGAAUAAGAAAAAAGGCAAGGAUGAGAAGUGUGGCUCAGAGGUGACCACUCCGGAGAACAGUUCCUCCCCAGGGAUGAUGGACAUGCAUGACGAUAACAGCAACCAGAGCUCCAUCGCAGAUGCCUCCCCCAUCAAACAGGAGAACAGCAGCAACUCCAGCCCCGCUCCAGAGCCCAGCUCGGCUGUGCCCAGUGACGGCACCGAGGCCAAGGUGGAUGAGGCCCAGGCUGAUGGGAAGGAGCACCCAGGAGCUGAAGGUAUGUGGCCUCUGGAGGUGGGGCUCUGAUGGCCUCCCUGUAACUGGCUUUCAGUGACUAGGUGUUCCAGGAGGCCCUGUCGUGUGCCAGCCCCAGCAAGGAGACAGUAAAGAGAGGUGACACCUGGAGGACAUGGUCUCGUGGGGGAAUUAAAAAAAUCAGACAGGCCAGGUGCAGUGACUCAUGCUUGUUAUCCCUGCACUUUAGGAGGCCAAGGUGUGAGGACUGCUUGAGCCCAGGAGUUCAAGACCAGCCUGGGCAACAUAGCAAGACCUCAUCUCUACCAAAAAAAAAAAAAAUAGCCAAGUGUG